AAAAAUUCUUUUUUUUAAAGUCAAGAGAAGAAUACUAUUUCAUGACGUGAAAAUUAUUUGAAAUUCAGAUCAGUGUCCAUAAAUAGUUCUGUUGGAUCAGUCACCCUGAGUAGUUUGCGUGUUGUCUGUGGCUGCUUUCAUGCUACGUGACAGAGUUGAGUAGUUGUGAAAUAGAGCGUAGUCCAAAAGGCCUAAAAUACUUACUAUCUGGCCUAGAGGGGGCUGUUUGUGUGCCUCCAAAAUUCACAGGUUGGAACCUAAUCCCCAAGGUGACAGUGUUAGAAGGUGGAGCCUUUGGGAGGUGAUGAGGUCACAAGGGUGGAGUCCUCAUGAAUGGGAUUAGUGCCCUUAUAAAGGAGACCCCAGAGAGUUCCCUAGCUCCUUCCUUCCAUCGCAUGAGGUUACAGCUAGAAGGCACGGUCUAGGAAGUGGGCCUUCCCCAGAUCCCAAAUAUGCCAGCACCUUGAUCUCGGACUUCCCAGAACCAUGAGACAUAAAUGUCUGCUGUUCGUAAGCCACCCGGAAGUGACAUGCAGAGGAGACUGGAAGUGUUAUGCUGGCAAAGCUCCCUCUACCUAGAAGGAAACACCAGGAGUUGAGAAGAAGCGUUCCCUCCUGCGCCCCCUGCCCUCAAAGCCACUUUCUCUAAAACAGCCUCUCUAACUCCUCUUCCCUGGGCUGGGCUAAGGACCUUCAUCUGGCCCUCCUGGCACCCUCAGCUUCUCUGCAGUCACCUACUCUUUUGCCCUAUAUGAUCUAUUUCUAUGCCUGUCCUCUCCAUCAGUCUGAGGACUUUCAGAGACCAAGAAGAAUAAAGAGUGGGGGGAAGAAA